rnacentral:rRNA from 1 species
GAUGAACGCUGGCGGCGUGCCUAAUACAUGCAAGUCGAGCGAACGGACGAGAAGCUUGCUUCUCUGAUGUUAGCGGCGGACGGGUGAGUAACACGUGGAUAACCUACCUAUAAGACUGGGAUAACUUCGGGAAACCGGAGCUAAUACCGUAUAAUAUUUUGAACCGCAUGGUUCAAAAGUGAAAGACGGUCUUGCUGUCACUUAUAGAUGGAUCCGCGCCGCAUUAGCUAGUUGGUAAGGUAACGGCUUACCAAGGCAACGAUGCAUAGCCGACCUGAGAGGGUGAUCGGCCACACUGGAACUGAGACACGGACCAGACUCCUACGGGAGGCAGCAGUAGGGAAUCUUCCGCAAUGGGCGAAAGCCUGACGGAGCAACGCCGCGUGAGUGAUGAAGGUCUUCGGAUCGUAAAACUCUGUUAUUAGGGAAGAACAUAUGUGUAAGUAACUGUGCACAUCUUGACGGUACCUAAUCAGAAAGCCACGGCUAACUACGUG